AGCUAUUAAUUGAAAAAACUAUCUUAAUUAAGCGAUAGAAGGUAUGUCUCUUGACACACUUGUUACAGUUUUAUUGAGCAGAGGAAUUUGAGAGAUUGUAUCUCUCUCCCGACGGCUCUCUCUCGACGGCUCAGCCUAGAAUCCUUUAUUCUUCUUCUUCGUUACCGAGCACCACUCAGUCUUCUUCUUCUCUCUAUCCGCUCGCUCAUCCAGGUUAGUCGUCCUUGUCAUCAUCUUCAUCGUAGCUGAACGGUAAUGGAACUGACUUGAAAGCUCGGUACUUCCCCACAUUAUUCAAAUGCUCAUUCUCUAGCCUG